AUACGGAGGGUGCGAGCGUUAAUCGGAAUUACUGGGCGUAAAGCGUACGUAGGCGGUUGGUUAAGUUAGAUGUGAAAGCCCCGGGCUUAACCUGGGAACUGCAUUUAAAACUGGCGAACUAGAGUUGAGUAGAGGGGAGUGGAAUUUCAGGUGUAGCGGUGAAAUGCGUAGAGAUCUGAAGAAACACCAGUGGCGAAGGCGACUCCCUGGACUCGAACUGACGCUGAGGUACGAAAGCGUGGGUAGCAAACGGGAUUAGAUACCCUAGUAGUCC
rnacentral:rRNA from 1 species